UACGUAGGGGGCCAGCGUUGCUCGGAAUUACUGGGCGUAAAGGGUCCGUAGGCGGUGUAGCAAGUCGAUAGUGAAAUCUCUGGGCUUAACCCAGAGGCUGCUAACGAAACUGCUGUGCUAGAGUGUGAGAGAGGCGAGUGGAAUUACGGGUGUAGCGGUGAAAGGCGUAGAUAUGCGGAGGAACAUCCGAGGCGAAGGCAGCUCGCGGGAUCACAACUGACGCUGAGGGACGAAAGCGAGGGGAGCAAACAGG
rnacentral:rRNA from 1 species